rnacentral:rRNA from 1 species
CCUACGGGUGACAGCAGUGAGGAAUAUUGGUCAAUGGGCGCGAGCCUGAACCAGCCAAGUAGCGUGAAGGAUGACUGCCCUACGGGUUGUAAACUUCUUUUAUAAAGGAAUAAAGUGCGGCACGUGUGCCUUUUUGUAUGUACUUUAUGAAUAAGGCUCGGCUAACUCCGUGCCAGCAGCCGCGGUAAUACGGAGGAUCCGAGCGUUAUCCGGAUUUAUUGGGUUUAAAGGGGGCGUAGAUGGGUUGUUAAGUCAGUUGUGAAAGUUGGCGGCUCACCCGUAAAAUUGCAAUUGAGACUGGCAGCCUUGAGUACGGUUGAGGUAGGCGGAAUUCGUGGUGUAGCGGUGAAAUGCUUAGAUAUCACGAAGAACUCCGAUUGCGAAGGCAGCCUACUAAACUGCCACUGACAUUGAUGCUCGAAAGUGUGGGUAUCAAACAGGAUUAGAUACCCGGGUAGUC